rnacentral:rRNA from 1 species
GACGAACGCUGGCGGCGUGCUUAACACAUGCAAGUCGAGCGGUAAGGCCCUUUCGGGGGUACACGAGCGGCGAACGGGUGAGUAACACGUGGGUGACCUGCCCUCAGCUCUGGGAUAAGCCUGGGAAACCGGGUCUAAUACUGGAUAUGACUCCAUGACGCAUGUUGUGGGGUGGAAAGCCUUGUGCGGCUGAGGAUGGGCCCGCGGCCUAUCAGCUUGUUGGUGGGGUGAUGGCCUACCAAGGCGACGACGGGUAGCCGGCCUGAGAGGGCGACCGGCCACACUGGGACUGAGACACGGCCCAGACUCCUACGGGAGGCAGCGAGUGGGGAAUCUUGCGCAAGUGGGCGAAAGCCUGACGCAGCGACGCCGCGUGAGGGAUGACGG